UACUUGGUGGCGACCGGCGCACGGGUGAGUAACGCGUAUGCAACCUACCUAUCAGAGGGGAAGUAACCCGGCGAAAGUCGGACUAAUACCGCAUAAAACAGGGCACCGCAUGGUGAUAUUUGUUAAAGAAAUUCGCUGAUAGAUGGGCAUGCGUUCCAUUAGGUAGUUGGUGAGGUAACGGCUCACCAAGCCGACGAUGGAUAGGGGAACUGAGAGGUUGGUCCCCCAUACUGGUACUGAGACACGGACCAGACUCCUACGGGAGGCAGCAGUGAGGAAUAUUGGUCAAUGGGCGGGAGCCUGAACCAGCUAAGUCGCGUGAAGGAAGAAGGAUCUAUGGUUCGUAAACUUCUUUUGCAGGGGAAUAAAGUGCAGGACGUGUCCUGUUUUGUAUGUACCCUGAGAAUAAGGAUCGGCUAACUCCGUGCCAGCCGCGGC
rnacentral:rRNA from 1 species